UGGGGAAUAUUGCACAAUGGGCGCAAGCCUGAUGCAGCCAUGCCGCGUGUAUGAAGAAGGCCUUCGGGUUGUAAAGUACUUUCAGCGGGAGGAAGGGAGUAAAGUUAAUACCUUUGCUCAUUGACGUUACCCGCAGAAGAAGCACCGGCUAACUCCGUGCCAGCAGCCGCGGUAAUACGGAGGGUGCAAGCGUUAAUCGGAAUUACUGGGCGUAAAGCGCACGCAGGCGGUUUGUUAAGUCAGAUGUGAAAUCCCCGGGCUCAACCUGGGAACUGCAUCUGAUACUGGCAAGCUUGAGUCUCGUAGAGGGGGGUAGAAUUCCAGGUGUAGCGGUGAAAUGCGUAGAGAUCUGGAGGAAUACCGGUGGCGAAGGCGGCCCCCUGGACAAAGACUGACGCUCAGGUGCGAAAGCGUGGGGAGCAAACAGG
rnacentral:rRNA from 1 species